UCCGAGUGCAGACCACGCCGGACUACAGCCC
rnacentral:piRNA from 1 species